UUGUGUCUCUCUCUGUCUCUCUCUCAGAAGACCGGAAGCUGUUUGUGGGCAUGUUGGGAAAACAGCAGAGCGAAGACGACGUCCGGCGUCUGUUUGAGUCGUUGGGGCAGAUAGAGGAGUGCACCGUUCUACGGGGGCCUGAUGGGGCCAGUAAGGGCUGUGCUUUUGUAAAGUUUUCCAGUCAUGCAGAAGCUCAGGCUGCUAUUAACAGUCUCCAUGGUGGACAAACGAUGCCUGGCGCGUCCUCCAGUCUGGUGGUGAAGUUUGCAGACACUGAUAAGGAACGAACCCUGCGCAGGAUGCAUCAGAUGGCGGGUCAGCUCGGCAUCUUCAGUCCCAUGACCAUUCAGUUCGGAGCAUACGGAGCGUACACACACGCUCAGGUGAUGCAGCAGCAGGCGGCGCUCAUGGCAGCGUCUCAGGGCUCGUAUCUGAACCCCAUGACUGCCCUCGCCGCCGCCGCUCAGAUGCAGCAAAUGACAGCUUUCAACGUCAAUGGCCUCGUGGCUGCGCCGAUGACACCGUCUUCAGGCACCAGCACUCCACCAGGCAUCAGUGCCGGCGCGGUGCCCAGCAUGGCAGCUUCCAUCGGGGUCAACGGCUUCAGCGCCCUCCCUCACCAAACCAACGGACAGCCCUCCUCCGAAGCCAUCUACACCAACGGCAUCCAUCCGUACCCAGCACAAAGCCCGACGGUUACAGACCCUCUCCAGCAGGCCUAUGCCGGUGUGCAACACUAUGCAGCAGCCUAUCCUGCCGCGUACGCGCCGAUUAGCCAAGCGUUUCCCCAGCAACCAGCCAUCAUCCCCCAGCAACAGCGGGAAGGACCGGAGGGCUGUAACCUGUUUAUUUACCACCUGCCGCAGGAGUUCGGGGACGCGGAGCUCAUGCAGAUGUUUCUGCCCUUCGGCAACGUCAUUUCUGCCAAAGUCUUCGUGGAUCGGGCCACCAAUCAGAGCAAGUGUUUCGGUUUCGUCAGCUUUGAUAACCCGUCCAGCGCUCAGGCGGCCAUCCAGGCCAUGAACGGGUUCCAGAUCGGCAUGAAGAGACUGAAGGUUCAGCUGAAGAGGCCGAAAGACGCCAACCGGCCGUACUGACCCGCAUCAUCAUCAUCACAGGGCUCAGGUACAGUAGCUCAGGACGGGCCGCUCUCUUAUGUCUUCAUCAGAGGAAGCUUGUCCAAUCACUGAUGAAGGACUUCAACACUUUAUCUCCACAAGACUUUAGCUGUGCUGCAUAUCACAGGAGGCGAGCGGUCCCGGGUUUACUGGGAAAAUCACGGAGAGCUGGGAAAACUGGAACACAAAGGAUUUUUUCUGCCAACUUUAUUUUAUUUUUUAUUUUUUGCUUCAGCAUUUGCAGGAUGCUUUUUUGCAUUUUGCAGAGACCAACAUUUUUUUUUUUUUUGACAAGAUCGAGAAAAAAAACUUUAUGAACACGUAAUGCUCAAAGCAUGCAUAAACAAACAUAUAUACAAAUGCACACCUAUUCUCGCCUUUACAUGCACACAUACAGAACUAUUUUGAAAUCCUCAUGUAAAUGCAUUGAUCUCUACACACACACACACACACACACACACACACCAGCCUGCUGCCAUUUUGGUUUUCGUGCCUACACUGGUAUCGCGUGAUCUGCGCUCUGGAAGAGAAUCCAGGAAUAUCUACAUGCAUCAUUCCUUAGAAAAUAGGGACCAAAGGACUACACGCUUUUUAAAAGUAUAUAAAUAUAUAUAUUUAAAAAAAAAAAAAACUCUUACCUUGUAGCUGCGAGUAUAAUGAUUACUAAUGUUAACAGUAGAAGAAAGUAAAUCUGUAGGCGUGUGUCGAGCGGCCGGUGUAAAAAGACGGUCAUGUGACCCUGGUUUUGCUCUGGUAGCUGUUUCUUGCACCGAGACGUAGAUUAGAAAAGUAGAAUAGAGUUGCUCAUUUUUCAUGUUUUCUAUUUAUUUUUAUCAGAGAAGAUAAUACUUGAACUUGUAAAGAAGAUGAAAAGGAAAAUGUACAGAUGAAAACGAACUCUUUCCUCGGCCUGCUGGAUAAUACCGCUCAUCAUGUUGUGCUCUUUCUCCAUUCCACUAAUCGAACGAGGAAACGUGUCGAAGUGUGUCCGACAGGAAUCCCAGAAGCCUUUGUGUUCGAGCGACAAUCCACAGUCAUGAUGAUGGGAUGUGGCGCGUGUUUUGCUUGGUCCUCGCAUCAGAUGUUCGGACUUUAUGACACUUCGAUAGCUACUGAAACUGCCAAAUGACCCGAAGCGGUGAUGUUUUUGAUACCCCUUCACUUAAUGAGAUGUUUAUUGGUCUGAAACGCACACGUUAAAGACGUUCAUCUGUGCUGUAAUCCUCCCUUCAUCUGUGUUUGUACUAAUAUCGAAACAGAUAUAGCAAAAUGGCUUAAGAUAUUAAGUCUUGUUUACUGAAAGGGUUUAUUCUUAAAGUGCCCCAUUAUGCUCUUUGAAAUAUUCCCUUUAAUGUGUAUUAGAGCCGUUUGUGUAUGUACAAGUUCUGCAAAGUUAAGUUGUUGUCGAUUCUGAACUGAAACGAGAACAAACCUACGUAAAAAUAACUCAUUAGCAUAAGGCCAGCCUGUGGUGUUGAUUGGCUGAGCAGCGCCUCUUAGCUCCGCCCAUCUGAGACUGGAAGAGUUCUUGUUUUCUGAGAUUGAUACGGUGAAACCCACGCCAUCGUUACUGUUCGUAUCACUGAGAUUCAGAUAUGAUAAUGAGCCAAUCACAGCAGAGCAGCCCUCAGAGAGGCGGAGCUUAGAGAGACUGAAGCGUUUCAGACACUGAGAGAAAUGACAUGACGUGCAAUUAUGAGGAAAUUAAAGUGUUAAUGCGUGUGAACCCGUUCUAGGAGACGCCAAACUUUUAAAAUAGUAUAAUAGGGCACUUAAAAAUGAGAAAAGGAUUCUGUUAGUGAGGUCAGAAAAUGAAUCUUGUUUUCCCUUUGAAUUAAAGGGUUAGUUCACCCAAAAAUGAA